GGAGAUGUAUCGAAGUGGUCAUAACGGGGCGCACUCGAAAUGCGUUUGCCUCUUUGAGGCACGUGGGUUCGAAUCCCACCAUCUCCG
rnacentral:tRNA from 1 species